rnacentral:tRNA from 3 species
GGUGCAUUCGUCUAGUGGUCCAGGACGCCGCCCUCUCACGGCGGAAACUCGGGUUCGACCCCCGGACGCACUACUA